AUUGAACGCUGGCGGCAUGCUUUACACAUGCAAGUCGGACGGUAGCACAGGGGAGCUUGCUCCUCGGGUGACGAGUGGCGGACGGGUGAGUAAUGUCUGGGGAUCUGCCCGAUAGAGGGGGAUAACCACUGGAAACGGUGGCUAAUACCGCAUAAUGUCGCAAGACCAAAGAGGGGGACCUUCGGGCCUCUCACUAUCGGAUGAACCCAGAUGGGAUUAGCUAGUAGGCGGGGUAACGGCCCACCUAGGCGACGAUCCCUAGCUGGUCUGAGAGGAUGACCAGCCACACUGGAACUGAGACACGGUCCAGACUCCUACGGGAGGCAGCAGUGGGGAAUAUUGCACAAUGGGCGCAAGCCUGAUGCAGCCAUGCCGCGUGUAUGAAGAAGGCCUUCGGGUUGUAAAGUACUUUCAGCGGGGAGGAAGGCGAUGUGGUUAAUAACCGCGUCGAUUGACGUUACCCGCAGAAGAAGCACCGGCUAACUCCGUGCCAGCCGCCGCAGUAA
rnacentral:rRNA from 1 species